GAGCACUGUUUCGGCAAGGGGGUCAUCCCGACUUACCAACCCGAUGCAAACUGCGAAUACCGGAGAAUGUUAUCACGGGAGACACACGGCGGGUGCUAACGUCCGUCGUGAAGAGGGAAACAACCCAGACCGCCAGCUAAGGUCCCAAAGUCAUGGUUAAGUGGGAAACGAUGUGGGAAGGCCCAGACAGCCAGGAUGUUGGCUUAGAAGCAGCCAUCAUUUAAAGAAAGCGUAAUAGCUCACUGGUCGAGUCGGCCUGCGCGGAAGAUGUAACGGGGCUAAACCAUGCACCGAAGCUGCGGCAGCGACGCUGAUGCGUUGUUGGGUAGGGGAGCGUUCUGUAAGCCUGUGAAGGUGUGCUGUGAGGCAUGCUGGAGGUAUCAGAAGUGCGAAUGCUGACAUAAGUAACGAUAAAGCGGGUGAAAAGCCCGCUCGCCGGAAGACCAAGGGUUCCUGUCCAACGUUAAUCGGGGCAGGGUGAGUCGACCCCUAAGGCGAGGCCGAAAGGCGUAGUCGAUGGGAAACAGGUUAAUAUUCCUGUACUUGGUGUUACUGCGAAGGGGGGACGGAGAAGGCUAUGUUGGCCGGGCGACGGUUGUCCCGGUUUAAGCGUGUAGGCUGGUUUUCCAGGCAAAUCCGGAAAACUAAGGCUGAGGCGUGAUGACGAGGCACUACGGUGCUGAAGCAACAAAUGCCCUGCUUCCAGGAAAAGCCUCUAAGCAUCAGGUAACAUCAAAUCGUACCCCAAACCGACACAGGUGGUCAGGUAGAGAAUACCAAGGCGCUUGAGAGAACUCGGGUGAAGGAACUAGGCAAAAUGGUGCCGUAACUUCGGGAGAAGGCACGCUGAUAUGUAGGUGAAGUCCCUCGCGGAUGGAGCUGAAAUCAGUCGAAGAUACCAGCUGGCUGCAACUGUUUAUUAAAAACACAGCACUGUGCAAACACGAAAGUGGACGUAUACGGUGUGACGCCUGCCCGGUGCCGGAAGGUUAAUUGAUGGGGUCAGCGCAAGCGAAGCUCUUGAUCGAAGCCCCGGUAAACGGCGGCCGUAACUAUAACGGUCCUAAGGUAGCGAAAUUCCUUGUCGGGUAAGUUCCGACCUGCACGAAUGGCGUAAUGAUGGCCAGGCUGUCUCCACCCGAGACUCAGUGAAAUUGAACUCGCUGUGAAGAUGCAGUGUACCCGCGGCAAGACGGAAAGACCCCGUGAACCUUUACUAUAGCUUGACACUGAACAUUGAGCCUUGAUGUGUAGGAUAGGUGGGAGGCUUUGAAGUGUGGACGCCAGUCUGCAUGGAGCCGACCUUGAAAUACCACCCUUUAAUGUUUGAUGUUCUAACGUUGACCCGUAAUCCGGGUUGCGGACAGUGUCUGGUGGGUAGUUUGACUGGGGCGGUCUCCUCCUAAAGAGUAACGGAGGAGCACGAAGGUUGGCUAAUCCUGGUCGGACAUCAGGAGGUUAGUGCAAUGGCAUAAGCCAGCUUGACUGCGAGCGUGACGGCGCGAGCAGGUGCGAAAGCAGGUCAUAGUGAUCCGGUGGUUCUGAAUGGAAGGGCCAUCGCUCAACGGAUAAAAGGUACUCCGGGGAUAACAGGCUGAUACCGCCCAAGAGUUCAUAUCGACGGCGGUGUUUGGCACCUCGAUGUCGGCUCAUCACAUCCUGGGGCUGAAGUAGGUCCCAAGGGUAUGGCUGUUCGCCAUUUAAAGUGGUACGCGAGCUGGGUUUAGAACGUCGUGAGACAGUUCGGUCCCUAUCUGCCGUGGGCGCUGGAGAACUGAGGGGGGCUGCUCCUAGUACGAGAGGACCGGAGUGGACGCAUCACUGGUGUUCGGGUUGUCAUGCCAAUGGCACUGCCCGGUAGCUAAAUGCGGAAGAGAUAAGUGCUGAAAGCAUCUAAGCACGAAACUUGCCCCGAGAUGAGUUCUCCCUGACUCCUUGAGAGUCCUGAAGGAACGUUGAAG
rnacentral:rRNA from 2 species